AAAUUAUUGAUGCGCAACCCAACAAAAACCCUCGCAAAUUGGACUUUUGAGAGGAAAGGAAAGAGACCAAAGAGAAGAGAGAGAGAUAGCAAUGCCAUGGAACAUCACUCUUUGGAUGGCCGAGAUGGUCUGGUUGGCUCUCACCGGCUGGAUCCCCUCUUGCUUGACUGUUGCUGACGAGCUCGCCACCUCCCUCAGAACCGGAGAUAUCGGCCCUUUCAAUGUCGGCUGAUAUUCCCCGAUCACUCCCUUCCUUAUGUAAGUUGAUUUGUGUUGGGUAUUUCAUUUCUUAUUAGAGAAUUGUAAAGCAAUAGGCAUGCGAGGCUUAUCCACCAAAUUACGGUCCUUGUGUUGGAGCUCAACCUCUAAAACCCUUCAUUUCCGAUUCUCAAAAUUUCAUAAGAUUGAUAACUUUGCCACGCUCGCUAAGCCAUCUAAGCCCAACAAACCCCACUUGAAACAACAACAACAAGAACCCAGCUCGUUUGGAUCGCUGUUCAGUGAAAUAACUGAGAUUUUAGGGGCUGAACAUGUCACUCUGGAUAAAACCCCAUCUGGGUUUUUUUUAUUUCCAAGGAAACCCAUCUUGGGGUUGGUGAGGUUGGGGAAGAGAAUGCUAAGGUGAAUGCACUGGGAGAAAAGGAAGAUAUAGCUGUUGUGGAGGAAACCAGAUUCGAAAGCGUAGCUGAAACUGAUGUUAGCCCAGUAGUUCGUGAGGUUACGAAGAUUGUCAGGGCGGAAAAUGGUUUGGUUUCGAUGGAGGCUAGGAAACGGUUAGACGAGUUGGGUUUUCAGUUAGAUUCAGAGAUUGUUGACAAAGUUUUGAAGAGGUGCUUUAAAGUGCCACAUUUGGCUUUAAGGUUCUUUGAUUGGGUGAAGCUGAAAGAAGGGUUCUGCAAGAGAGUUUGGGCUGGUGGAGAAGUUGGUGGAGGAUGGAAAGGAACUGGUGCGAGAAAGAUGUUAAGACCUGGACCAUUCUUAUCCAGAUGUAUGGGAAGGCCAAGUUAGUUGGAAGAGCCUUGUUAGUCUAUGAGAAGAUGAAGAAAUGCAGUUUUGAACCACACACAGUAGUUUUCAGAAUGAUGACACGUGCUGACGUGCACUUUGUGCUGCUGGAAAAGCCGACGUGGCAAUGGAAUUUUACAAGGAAAUGGUACAGAAGGACAUUGGACUUGAUAUCACUGUAUAAGCUGUUAUUGAACGGCAUAGACUCACCAGUUGGUGUAUGAUGGACCAGUUGCAAUGCAAAUCGACUCACCAUCCCAAAGAACUCAAAUGGUGUUGUAGAAGAACCCUGAUUUGGUUGGCUUUGCUUUGAUUCAACGGAAACUUGGCAAUAGAGCGGAGUUCAAAUGUGUGGAAUGUAAUUUAUGAUAUUCGAGAUUAAUAGCAAUGAUUGAUGACA